AGUGGGGAAUAUUGCACAAUGGGCGCAAGCCUGAUGCAGCGACGCCGCGUGGGGGAUGACGGCCUUCGGGUUGUAAACUCCUUUCGCUAGGGACGAAGCUUUUUGUGACGGUACCUAGAUAAGAAGCACCGGCUAACUACGUGCCAGCAGCCGCGGUAAUACGUAGGGUGCGAGCGUUGUCCGGAAUUACUGGGCGUAAAGGGCUCGUAGGUGGUUUGUCGCGUCGUCUGUGAAAUUCCGGGGCUUAACUCCGGGCGUGCAGGCGAUACGGGCAUAACUUGAGUACUGUAGGGGUAACUGGAAUUCCUGGUGUAGCGGUGAAAUGCGCAGAUAUCAGGAGGAACACCGAUGGCGAAGGCAGGUUACUGGGCAGUUACUGACGCUGAGGAGCGAAAGCAUGGGUAGCGAACAGGAUUAGAU
rnacentral:rRNA from 1 species